UAUAUAUAUAUAUGUGUAUAUAUAGUGAAAAAAGACAAAAAAGACAGGGACACACUUAUUUUGUGUUUCUUUUUUAAUUCAUAGGACAGACAGGUCUAUCAGCCCACUGUCAUAAAGUAAAAUUUAAGUGAUUAAUUUCUCUUCAGUUCCACUAUUAGACCCGUCUGUCGCUGUAGCUUUACUUUCCAGUGCAGCUCAUGGAUGGCGUAAAAAGGAUAUGGGCCGAAAGAGAGGAAAAAAUUUUGGAAAACGUGUGACCUGAUCCCAGAAAGCGCAGAUGCACUUUAUUCGGCCAUGUGUUUUUGUACACACAUGGUUUUUACAGCAGCUAUGAGUGUUGAAUGUCUCACUUUCUGCCGGUGGAACAAUGGGGCCCGGUCCUAUGAGCCAGCUCUGGGGAGGGAGGAGUGUUGUGUUGGGCUUAAUGACCUCUUCUCAGUGCGGCCUCUGCAUCCUCCCAUCUUAAUUAAUGAAAUACGCAGAGGGGGCAAACAGCCCUGCAAUAACACAGGAGGUGCUGCUUUCUGAGGAGGGCAAAGGCGUGAUAAUUACAUACCCUCACUUUUCCCUUUUCCCGUUUUUCACCUAUGUUUCUACCUCGUUUUUUUCCUUCCCAUCCCCCCCUCUUUUGUCUCUGUCUCCUCCUUUGCUGUCAUGAUUAAUAAGCACGCACAAUUAUGCCAAUUCAUUUACAGCUGGGGGGGAGGGGGGAGCUUUGUUUAAGCAAGUCAUUUUUUCCUUUGAUUUCAGGAGAGGGAAAAGCACAGAGUUGUUUGCCAGUCUUUAUCCGAGCUGGGAGAGGGUCUUUUUUUUUUUCUGCGGCAGCAUGUUGUUUGUGAGCGUGACGAUUGAUGGCGUAAUCCCUUUUCACAGUGUGGUCUGGCUGUGCCCGAUAAUGCCAGCCUGCUCAGUUUCAGCAUGCUCUCCACUGGGGCGGCAAGAGGGGGACUGCUGGGCACGGUGGAGCUCAUUCAGCCAUUAAUCUGGCCAGGACAAGGGAAGCUGCUACUUCUGCUGCCGCUGCCGCUGCUGCUGCAGGCGACGUGAGCAGGGUCUUAGUGCAGUCUGCUGACUGCACAGCAACCUCGCUCUCCUUCGCUCCCUCCGCACACUCACACAUAAACACGCCAGCAUCAGCAAGUGAAUGGCAGAGGGGAGUUCACAGCGCAUGCCCUCCUUUCCAGCGGCAGAGCAGGGGUGAGAGGCAGAACAAACAGAGCUGCAUCCCAAGGAGGGAUUUCUAGAAGUUCUGAAGGGAGGUGGCUGUAACGCAUCAGAGACGGAGAGAUAGAAGGACGGAGAGAAAGAGAGCACGCCACAGGAAGACCGAGAGGAGAGGAGGAGCAGCCUGAGCUGCCUGUCAGGUCCGCUAAUUGAGAAAAAAGUGACAGAACCAUCAAGACACAGAAAGGGAGGAGAAGAGGAGAGGAGACGAGAGAUGUUUGGCGGAGGAGGGGCAGUGCUAUGGUGGAUCUCUUCAGGUUUGACUAAUUGAAAGGAAGGGAUGCAGACUGGCACAGGAGAGAGAGAGAGAGAGGGAGAGAGAGAAUGAAAGAAGCAGGAGUAAGGAAGAGGAGAGGCGGGGGGUGCAGCUUAAAUCCUACAAAAGGAAAAGCAAGCAACUGUUCACAGAAGGAAAGAUGGACAACUGAAGAUAGGCUUGGAAAGGCGUAUCAAACAGAAGUGGAUUAGACAGGUGUGUGCAGGCAACUCUGUGUGUGUGUGUGUGCAUGCGUGUGUUUAUAUGUGUGGACAAAGAUAUGAGACUGCGAUUAUUUUUGGCAUAACUUAAGAAGUCAUUUGGACUGUGGCCAGCUGGCCUCAGGACUGCGAGGAGUCGGCAGGUUUUCUUUUUAUUCUUUACCCACUCCCCACCCUUUUUUCCCUCUGUUGGUCAUUUUUAUUUGUAUUCUUUUUUAUUUUUCCACUCAGUCGAUUCAGUGGAGUUUAUUCAAACAGUUCCAAACAUGAAAAUAAAUCUUUCAAAAGCUC